ensembl:lncRNA
CGCAGAACCCUGGGUUCAUUUGACUACAGCUGGGACCCAGCCUAGGGAGAGGAUUCAAAUUGAGCCUGAUUCCUGGGACCGUUUGCAAUACCACCUGUCUUCGGUCGGGGUUCCCUGGACUCCGAGUUGGCGUCUAUGUGCAGGAGGAUCAUUGGGGUGUGCGCUUGUGAACCCAGCUGGACGGAGUGCUGAAGUCAGCGCUGGGUAGAGAGAUGUGGAGCUGUGAGCAGUUUGCGGUAGAGAUCUCUUGAUCCCGCGGGGACUGAGGAGAAGUGAAGGAAGGGGCACGGACUGUUACACCCUCUUAUUGACUCGUCGUUAAGUGUGGCAGGCGAAGACUCUGGCGAGGGCAGGUCUUUUGGCCAAAAGCCAGAUACAGAGAGGGACUCAACUGUGAGCCCAAGCAAACAGGAGCACCUCAGCAGCUGCCCUUGUCCUGGAGCGGGGAUCUGCAGGACCUUUCCAUUUCGUAACAUCAGGUAAGCAUCCACCAGGUUCUGCAACGUAAAUUUCAACUGCUGAAGAAAGUGACCAGGGUGCGUUCUUUCUUGUCAUUAUUCAAAAUUCGCAAUCAUGCGCUCGCUUCGGCAGCACAUAUACCAAAAUUCGCAAUCAUGACCUGUUGAUCCACAGUCUUAUGUCCCACCACACUGA